UACGGAGGAUGCGAGCGUUAUCCGGAUUUAUUGGGUUUAAAGGGUGCGUAGGCGGGAUGCCAAGUCAGCGGUAAAAAUGCGGUGCUCAACGCCGUCGAGCCGUUGAAACUGGCGUUCUUGAGUGGGCGAGAAGUAUGCGGAAUGCGUGGUGUAGCGGUGAAAUGCAUAGAUGUCACGCAGAACCCCGAUUGCGAAGGCAGCCUUCCGGCGCCCUACUGACGCUGAGGCACGAAAGUGCGGGGAUCGAACAGG
rnacentral:rRNA from 1 species